rnacentral:misc_RNA from 1 species
CAAACCUCAAGCUUCGGCUUGGUCUUGGGCACCGUCCGCUAGGACGCGCCAGAAACACGUAGGCAGUGGUGCCCGUCUCCCAGCGUAGUCAAUCUAUCCGCUCCGGAGCCCGUGGUGCCGCCCGCCGGACAACCCACUAUUUCUAUG